rnacentral:lncRNA from 12 species
AGAGCAAGGAGGACCCCUGAGGACGGAAGCUCUGCCCAAGUGCACCUGCGCUCGGGGAGGACGGGGAGGACGUGCCAGGCUGUCCUAUCUUAUCACACAGGACAGAAAUAACAGGAGGCUGUGGGGACGCCAGACCGCUGUCCUCGGGAAGGAGGCACGUGCGCUGGCCUCUCAGGGCGGGCAUCAGGGAAGGCUUCCUGGAGGAAGUGAAAACUAAGAAACCGCUCCACCUCCAGCCCCUGACACAGGACCCAGCUCAUUGGCCUCCAGAUCUCACGUGGGCCAAUUGGAUUUUUCUGGCCAGGAAAUUUGCAACUGGGACUCCGAACUGGAAAAAGUCACCCGUGGGGAGCUAACUUGCAGGCCGUGUGACUCAAAGGCUGAGACUGCCAUGAGUUGCUGCCCUCAGGGGGUCAUGGGCAAGCCCAGAGCGAGCCCGGAAACUAGGCCGGGGAGCCUCCUGAGCAGAGAUGCAGGGCAGGGUGUGUGGUGCUGAUGGUGAUGGGGGUGGUGGCGACACAAGUGUCCCAAGCCCCGGAGGAAGGGGCUUACCCUAGUCAAGUCACAGAAAAUCAGGGCAAUGAAAGCCCUGGAAGAGCCCCUGGCCUCUCUCUACGUUUGGCAGACUGAGACCCCCGGAGGUGGCGAGGCUGACCCAAGGUCACCCGGAGGGGACGUGGCUAAGCUGCACCUGAGCUCUGGGGGCUUCUUCUGCUGAAAGCCUGGCAGGCCGGGCUUCCUCUCUCUUCGGACACAUUCUCAUCAGCUGGGAAUCUGAGGACAGAGCAGACGCCAGCAGAGCACGGCGUAAUUGGCUCCAAAUGUCCCCCCAGAAGCUGGUCACGGUGUCUACAAUUCCACCGUCUUCCAUUUCCAGAAGUAGCCCUGGGCAGGGGAACACUCUGCAUCUCAUUCACAGAGAAGAUUAAAUAAUGGUUUGAAAAGCCCAAGAUCAGGAAAUCCACCUUUAUUGACUCCCCAGGCAAUUUAUACCCUCCACGAAGUCUUACAGAGGUAACCCAGUCACUCCCAUUUUACGGGAGGAAACAGGCUCACGGGGUAAGGUGACUUGCCCAAGGUCACACAGCAAGGCAGGAGCAGGGCUUCGGAUCUGCUUCCAGAACCCAGGCUCCUUGCUCUCAGGAGCGGUGAGUGCUGAGUUCUGGAGCCAGGGAGAGGCCGAGGAGGUUGCAGCUGCAAGAUGAACAGGUCCCACGGAAUCAUCCAGAGGGAAGAGUCCCGGCCUGAG